rnacentral:rRNA from 1 species
AUACGGAGGGUGCAAGCGUUAUUCGGAAUCACUGGGCGUAAAGGACGCGUAGGCGGGUUGGCAAGUCAGAUGUGAAAUCCUACAGCUUAACUGUAGAACUGCAUUUGAAACUGCUAACCUAGAGUAUGGGAGGGGGAGAUGGAAUUAGUGGUGUAGGGGUAAAAUCCGUAGAUAUCACUAGGAAUACCGAAAGCGAAGGCGAUCUCCUGGAACAUAACUGACGCUAAGGCGUGAAAGCGUGGGGAGCAAACAGGAGUAGAAACCCCAGUAGUCC